UAAUUUGUUUGGAGCAUAUCGUUAUUUAGUUAUAGCAACUCACACUUGAUUGCUCAGAAUCACCCGUUAUCAUAAGUCUGCCUACAUCAUUGACAUUGAAAAUAGAGGAGAACUAUUGUGUGAAUAAUUUUUUAGAUUUUAA
rfam:Populus trichocarpa isolate Nisqually-1 chromosome 16, whole genome shotgun sequence.